rnacentral:rRNA from 1 species
CGGAAUUAUUGGGCGUAAGCGCGCGCAGGCGGUUCUUUAAGUCUGAUGUGAAAGCCCCCGGCUCUACCGGGGAGGGUCAUUGGAAACUGGGGGACUUGAGUGCCGAAGAGAAGAGUGGAAUUCCACGUGUAGCGGUGAAAUGCGUAGAGAUGUGGAGGAACACCAGUGGCGAAGGCGACUCUUUGGUCUGUAACUGACGCUGAGGCGCGAAA